rnacentral:rRNA from 1 species
CCUACGGGUGGCAGCAGUGGGGGAUAUUGGACAAUGGGGGAAACCCUGAUCCAGCGACGCCGCGUGCGUGAAGAAGUAUUUCGGUAUGUAAAGCUCUAUCAGCAGGGAAGAAAGAAAUGACGGUACCUGAGUAAGAAGCCUCGGCUAACUACGUGCCAGCAGCCGCGGUAAGACGUAGGGGGCAAGCGUUAUCCGGAAUUACUGGGUGUAAAGGGAGCGUAGAUGGUAAUGCAAGUCUGGAGUGAAAGGCGGGGGCCCAACCCCCGGACUGCUCUGGAAACUGUGUGACGGGAGAGCAGGUGAGGCAGGCGGAAUUCAUAGUGUAGCGGUGAAAUGCGUAGAGAUUAGGAAGAACACCAGUGGCGAAGGCAGCCUGCUGGACUGUAACUGACGUUGAGGCUCGAAAGCGUGGGGAGCAAACAGGAUUAGAUACCCCGGUAGUC